CAGUAAAAGGACAAUUCAAUUCCUAUUUAAAAAUAAUUAUGAAAGGACAAUUAUGUGGAAACCAUCUUUCAUCUAUAAAAUGAAUAAUUUGAUUCUCUUUGCAACAAGAACGAAGAAAGAGAACUAUAAAGGGAGGGACAAAAUUUCAUACCGGGAUAAUUUGGUCUCAAAUUCAGUAAACUUACCUCUGAACCAAUAAGUUAUGAAUUCUAGGCCCAAAAGGCCAAAACAAAGUUUAUGUUCAAGAAUACAGAUCUGCCGUCGUCUGCGCAAUACAGUUCCACACUUGAACACGGCUUUAAUUAUUUAUUUUUCUCCAAUUUAACACCGCCAAACAUCGCUCAUCGGCGACAGUGGUAGAACACGGGAUUUAAAAAUUUCUAUGGUUCGGCAACAGCUCAACAGUAGCGGCGUUGAAUUGCAGAUGAUUUAUGCGAUUGAGGGACGGCGACGGCGCACCGUUGACGGAAACUUUCCUAGUCGACACACUACCACUUGGGCAUAAGGGGUUGCUUGAAAUGGAGGCAGAAAUAACCUAUGAUCUUGGUAGAAUGCAAGAGAAAUGUCUUCGUGGAGAAUUUUGGAGAGUUUCUCCGAUCAAGGAGUUGAUGCAAAUCCUGUAUCUUCUCCAUCGAUUCAAAAGAUUCGAUUAGAUCCUUCCGACUAUUGGGAAGAUGUCCUUUGACGGAUAUUAAGUGAGGUAAUUCACGUUAUUAAGCAAGUCAAUAUACUCAAGUGGAAGUGUUGAUAAUGAUAACUUGUAUGUAAAUAUUGGCAGACAUCGUCGUCACGUCUGAGACCUACUGGACCGGAAAUAUGGACGGUGGGAUCUUCAGCCCUUUAUAAAUCAUAAAAGAUCUAAUUGCCUAAAACUUCUCUACAACAGGUGAAUGGAGCUUUUUUCGCCUUUUUUGUACUGCAUUUAAAAGUUGCAGACAUCUAAAGAGAUCUUACAUACUUUUUACCUUGUUCUAAUUAUUCCUUGCCUUUUGCUUUAAACAGUUGAAAGAUGAAAUUCUUCCAUGAAAGCCUUCUCGUUUUUCAUGAAGAGGAAGAUAGAUACUAAGGCCAUGGAUUGUCGAUAUUGAAGGACGAUAAAGAAUGGUGUUAGGAAUGUGACCUGAAAAUUGAAGGCAAAAUAAAUGGCGGUGACUCAGAAAAAGAGGAGGAAUAUAAACGAGUUUAGAGCUCAUGGUUUCUAUACAUAAGAUAUUUAUGUUUUGUAAUUUUAAAAGAUUCUUAGCACUAGAUACUACUAGCCAAAUGAAGUUAUGAGAUAUUGGAAAAGAUAUGAUUUUGUUUUAAUAGAUAUAUGCUUUGUG